UUAGGCCGAAAUUCUGUCACCUUAGGUCGAUCGGUACCUCAGCUUUGAAGUUAAGAAUCAGCAGCAAUGUUGAUUGCUUGAUGGAGAUUUUCAGUUCCUAAACUUUGUCUAGGUCACACCCCAAAAGGGAUGAGACUCCUGGGCCAUUAGCUCAGGUGGUUAGAGCGCACCCCUGAUAAGGGUGAGGUCCCUGGUUCAAGUCCAGGAUGGCCCAUUCGGUGUUGGGGGUUUAGCUCAGUUGGUAGAGCGCCUGCUUUGCAAGCAGGAUGUCAGGAGUUCGAGUCUCCUAACCUCCACUGACCGAACUUGAUUCCCAUCUCCAAUUUUUUGGAGUUGAGCUCGAUUGGAGUGUGAUUUAGAUGUGUCCGCUGGAUGACCCCAGCUUCCUGUCAUUCCAAGUUUUAGGUUGAAGCCUUGAAUUUGGUUGAUAAGAUGCUGGGCUCAGAUCAAAUGAUCAAGCAAUUGAUGAUUUGAUUUGAAGUUCUAGCAGAACCUUGACAACUGCAUAGGUGAGUCUGGAAAAAACAAAGCAUCUUACAGAUGCAUUGUUUUGAAUCUGAUCUUCUGAAAGGAAGAUUGGAUCCAGAACAAUGAAAAUUCUUUUGAGCAAGAGCCGAGACUCUU
rnacentral:tRNA from 1 species